rnacentral:rRNA from 1 species
CCUACGGGCGGCAGCAGUGAGGAAUAUUGGUCAAUGGACGAGAGUCUGAACCAGCCAAGUAGCGUGAAGGAGGCCUGCUCUAUGGUUUGUAGACUUCUCUUAUAAAGCGAUAAAACGAGGCACGCGCGCCUUUUUGCAUGUACUUUAUGAUUAAGGAUCGGCUAACUCCGUGCCAGCAGCCGCGGUAAUACGGAGGAUCCGAGCGUUAUCCGGAUUUAUUGGGUUUAAAGGGAGCGUAGAUGGGUGGUUAAGUCAGUUGUGAAAGUUUGCGGCGCAACCGUAAAAUUGCAAUUGAUACUGGCAGUCUUGAGUACAGUUGAGGUAGGCGGAAUUCGUGGUGUAGCGGUGAAAUGCUUAGAUAUCACGAAGAACCCCGAUUGCGAAGGCAGCUUACUAAACUGUGACUGACAUUGAUGCUCGAAAGUGUGGGUAUCAAACAGGAUUAGAUACCCCAAUAGUC